rnacentral:lncRNA from 1 species
CUCCAUCCUUCUGCCCUUCUGCCCUUCCCAUCCUCCUUCUCCAGACUUUAUACAGACACUCACCCCCCAGAAGAUACUGUUUUUCGGGGCACAAGGUUCCACCACACCUCAGCCCCAAUGCCCAGGCCACACAGCCCUGCUGCCAGCAGCCAGACAGCCCAAUAUGGGGCCAUGGCACACACCCCAGCUCUCAGCUCCAGGCCAGCAGCCCUGGCAAGGGAAAAGAAGUGGUCAGCAAACAUCCCAGAAGAGGGCCACACUGAGACGGCAGAGAGAACACCCAACCAGAGCUCUUGCGGAGCCCUCACUUCUUUGGCCCUGCCUUUCUCUCAGGUAGAGGACCCAGCUCCCCACACCUGGCCUCAGCCCCCCAAGACCCUGGAGUCUCCUGCAGAUUGGUAGAGAAGCUGAGCCAGCUAGAGGUGUGGAGAGACAUCAAGAAGCCCUCUAAAGGGCCGGGAUGUAGCUCACUGGUUCGGCCACCAGCCUCAAAAGCGCAAGGACCUGAGUUCGAUCCCCGGUACCAAAAAAAAAAGAAGUCCCUCUAAAACAUAAAGGCCAUCCCCACUCCCUCUUGGCUACAGGAAGUUGUUUGGAAAAAUAAGAGGAACACCCUUCUCCCACACUCAGGCCUAAGAGGUACAGAAGUUUCUUAAAAUAACCUCAAGAAGCAGGACCUGCAACCACUGGGGCUGCCACAGCCUCAAGACCUAAUUCUGCCAGGUCCAGAGCUAGAGCUGCGGGGGCGUGAGGCUGGCAAGGCCUCCAAUUGGGGACUCGGUGCAGCAGGUCCUGGCCCAGCCCCAGCGGGUCCCCUUCCCCCCGGUGCAGACAAUGGCCCGGCAGAGCCUCAAAUCCCGUUCCACAUCAGCAGGACUGGGGCGGGAGUUGCCUCGGUGCCUGAGGGGCCCAGUUUCCCGAGGCCCCUUUGUUGCCCUAGAGGGAGGCAGGAAGUGGGUGGGAUGGGCGUGGAAAUGACCAAGGCCUCAUCCUGUCCCCCCACACAGCCUUCUAGGAGACACUCGCCCUCGGGCUGCGGGGCGGCAGGACAGCGGGCAGGCUCAGGUCCCAUCCAGGGUAUCCCCCCCCACCUCCCCUGCGGCGCUAGCAGGCGUGGCUCGGGGAGGGUGGGGAAGGGGUGGGAAGUCGGAGGAGGUCCUCGCGGGCCGGACGCGAUCGGCCAGCGCUCCGGCACUCCCCCGGGUCUAGCGAACCUCUCCAACUAGGCGACUGCGCCCUGGGGACCCUGGCCUGGGCAGGCCAUCGGAAUUGAUUUCCACGGCUCCGGCCCCCAACUGAGGCCGGACAAAGACACGGAAAUGGGGAACCUGCUCCCCUCCAAAACAAAGGGUCCCCGCCAAGUCCCCAUCCCGGGUCCCCCGGUUCUCCCCUCCCCCAGCUCGGGAUUUGAAUGGAAACAAAGCGGCGGCGCCGGGAGCGUGGCGAGCUCGGCCUUCGGACGCCCUCUGCCGGCCCGAAACCCCAGCGCGGGCAGGGCGGGGGACGGGAGCGUUCGCCCCCAGUAGUCCCCCCAACGCGUCCCCCUUUCGAAGCCAUCACCUCAGCUCCGUCUAGACCCAGCGGCGCGCUCUGAGGACUCGCCUGCGCCGCGAGCCCCCUCCCCCAGCUUCCCCAGAGCGGAGUGCUCGGGCAGCCAGGGAGUGGCGGAGUGCGGGAUCCAGGCAGCGCGCUCCGCACGCUCGCCCACCCCGAGCCACCGGCUGUAGUCGGCGACUGGACUUAGGCCGUGGGGGACCUGGCUUCACGGGCCAGCACCCCUCUUCCUCCAGCGAAACGGGGCGGGGGCGGGGGGCGGCAGGGAAAUCUGAUCCCACAACAUCGGCCUUGGUCCAAGCCCGCCCCAAACUUUCUGUCCGGGGGUGGAGGAGCAGGGGGCAGCUCGGGAGCCUGGCGAACAUCCCGGCCGCGCACCGGACGGACAGCACUAGACCCGGCGCCCCCAGACCCGCCCGCGUCCCGGGCCCUGGGGCUGCAGGCGCGGCUCGC